GCUUGGUAAGUCAGUUGUGAAAUCCUUACUGCUCCAACAGAAGAAUGGCAAAUGAUACUACCAGGCUAGAGUUCGGUAGAGGAGANCGGAAUUCUCGGUGUACCGGUGAAAUGCGUAGAUAUCGAGAAGAACACCAGUGGCGUAGGCGGCUCUCUAGCCCGAUACUGACACUGAAACACGAAAGCGUGGGUAGCGAACGGGAUUAGAUACCCCGGUAGUCCACGCCGUAAACGAUGGGUACUAGGUGCAGGUGGUAUCGAUCCCUUCUGUGCCGAAGCAAACGCGUUAAGUACCCCGCCUGGGGAGUACGGCCGCAAGGCUAAAACUCAAAGGAAUAGACGGGGGCCCGCACAAGCGGUGGAGCAUGUGGUUUAAUACGACGCAACGCGUAGAACCUUACCAGGGCUUGACAUGCUGGUGGUACUGGCUCCGAAAGGAGACAGGACCCUUCGGGGAGCCAACACAGAUGUUGCACGGCUGUCGUCAGCUCGUGUCGUGAGAUGUUGGGUUAAGUCCCGCAACGAGCGCAACCCUUAUCCUUAGUUGCCAGCAGGUAAUGCUGGGGACUCUAAGGAGACUGCCUGUGAUAAGCAGGAGGAAGGUGAGGAUGACGUCAAGUCAUUGUGGCUCUUACGCCCUGGGCUACACACGUGCUACAAUGGUCGAUACAAUGGGUAGCAAUGCCGCGAGGUGGAGCCAAUCCCCAAAAGUCGGCCUCAGUUCGGAUUGGAGUCUGCAACUCGACUCCAUGAAGUCGGAAUCGCUAGUAAUGGCGCAUCAGCUACGGCGCCGUGAAUACGUUCCCGGGCCUUGUACUCACCGCCCGUCACAUCACCUGAGUUGAUUGCACCUGAAGUCACUGGUCUAACCUUCGGGAGGAAAGUGCCGAAGGUGUGAUUGGUAAGGGGGAUGAAGUCGUNANCAGGUAANC
rnacentral:rRNA from 1 species